UACGUAGGUGGCAAGCGUUGUCCGGAUUUAUUGGGUUUAAAGGGUGCGUAGGCGGUUUUGUAAGUCAGUGGUGAAAUCCGGCAGCUCAACUGUCGAUGUGCCAUUGAUACUGCAGAACUUGAGUACAGACGAGGUAGGCGGAAUUGACGGUGUAGCGGUGAAAUGCUUAGAUAUCGUCAAGAACACCGAUAGCGAAGGCAGCUUACUAGACUGUAACUGACGCUGAUGCACGAAAGUGUGGGGAUCAAACAGG
rnacentral:rRNA from 1 species